CUACGGGCGGCUCCAGUGGGGAAUAUUGCACAAUGGAGGAAACUCUGAUGCAGCAACGCCGCGUGGAGGAUGACACUUUUCGGAGCGUAAACUCCUUUUAUAUAGGAAGAAGAUGACGGUACUAUAUGAAUAAGCGCCGGCUAACUCCGUGCCAGCAGCCGCGGUAAUACGGAGGGCGCAAGCGUUACUCGGAAUCACUGGGCGUAAAGAGCGUGUAGGCGGAUUAAAAAGUCAGAAGUGAAAUCCUAUAGCUUAACUAUAGAACUGCUUCUGAAACUCUUAAUCUAGAAUAUGGGAGAGGUAGAUGGAAUUUCUGGCGUAGGGGUAAAAUCCGUAGAGAUCAGAAGGAAUACCGAUUGCGAAGGCGAUCUACUAGAACAUUAUUGACGCUGAGACGCGAAAGCGUGGGGAGCAAACAGGAUUAGAUACCCGCGUAGUC
rnacentral:rRNA from 1 species